GAUGAACGCUAGCGGCAGGCCUAACACAUGCAAGUCGAGGGGCAGCACAGGAAAGUAGUAAUACUUUUGGGUGGCGACCGGCGAACGGGUGCGUAACGCGUAUACAACCUGCCUUCUACUGGGGGAUAAUUCGGAGAAAUCUGGUCUAAUACCCCAUAACAACCGAUGAGGCAUCUCAUUGGUUUAAAAGCUCCGGCGGUAGAAGAUGGGUAUGCGUGACAUUAGAUAGUUGGUGGGGAACGGCUCACCAAGUCGACGAUGUCUAGGGGGACUGAGAGGUUAACCCCCCACACUGGUACUGAGACACGGACCAGACUCCUACGGGAGGCAGCAGUGAGGAAUAUUGGUCAAUGGACGCAAGUCUGAACCAGCCAUGCCGCGUGCAGGAAGACGGCUCUAUGAGUUGUAAACUGCUUUUGUACGAGGGUAAACCCAGGGACGUGUCCUUGGUCGAAAGUACCGUACGAAUAAGGAUCGGCUAACUCCGUGCCAGCAGCCGCAGUAA
rnacentral:rRNA from 1 species